rnacentral:rRNA from 1 species
UGCAGUCGAGCGGUAGAGAGAAGCUUGCUUCUCUUGAGAGCGGCGGACGGGUGAGUAAUGCCUAGGAAUCUGCCUGGUAGUGGGGGAUAACGUUCGGAAACGGACGCUAAUACCGCAUACGUCCUACGGGAGAAAGCAGGGGACCUUCGGGCCUUGCGCUAUCAGAUGAGCCUAGGUCGGAUUAGCUAGUUGGUGAGGUAAUGGCUCACCAAGGCGACGAUCCGUAACUGGUCUGAGAGGAUGAUCAGUCACACUGGAACUGAGACACGGUCCAGACUCCUACGGGAGGCAGCAGUGGGGAAUAUUGGACAAUGGGCGAAAGCCUGAUCCAGCCAUGCCGCGUGUGUGAAGAAGGUCUUCGGAUUGUAAAGCACUUUAAGUUGGGAGGAAGGGUUGUAGAUUAAUACUCUGCAAUUUUGACGUUACCGACAGAAUAAGCACCGGCUAACUCUGUGCCAGCAGCCGCGGUAAUACAGAGGGUGCAAGCGUUAAUCGGAAUUACUGGGCGUAAAGCGCGCGUAGGUGGUUUGUUAAGUUGGAUGUGAAAUCCCCGGGCUCAACCUGGGAACUGCAUUCAAAACUGACUGACUAGAGUAUGGUAGAGGGUGGUGGAAUUUCCUGUGUA